rnacentral:rRNA from 1 species
UGGGGAAUAUUGCGCAAUGGGGGGCAACCCUGACGCAGCAACGCCGCGUGAAGGAAGAAGGUCUUCGGAUUGUAAACUUUUGUCUUAAGGGACGAAAAGGACGGUACCUUAGGAGGAAGCCACGGCUAACUACGUGCCAGCAGCCGCGGUAAUACGUAGGUGGCAAGCGUUGUCCGGAUUUACUGGGUGUAAAGGGCGUGUAGGCGGGCUGAUAAGUCAGAUGUGAAAUACCGGGGCUUAACCCCGGGGCUGCAUUUGAAACUGUCAGUCUUGAGUGUCGGAGAGGUAAGCGGAAUUCCUAGUGUAGCGGUGAAAUGCGUAGAUAUUAGGAGGAACACCAGUGGCGAAGGCGGCUUACUGGACGAUAACUGACGCUGAGGCGCGAAAGCGUGGGUAGCAAAC